ACAAGGUCAGCCUCACCAUCUCGCAAAUCUUUUUCUCCUUCUCAAGGUGAUGCUCCAGCAAUUCCAUGUGAAGGACAAGCUUGUCAUGCUGGUCGGUCACACGAUAAUAAGAAUUCUUCCAAUCCAUGACCUGCACCUCGAGAUCCUUCUCGACCUUUUUCCAAGAUAUACAUGGAUGUACAAUAAGGGUCAAAGACUACAGAGAUAAAUCAACAGACACAAAAUUGCAAGAGUAGAGGAUUACCUUUUAUUCCUUUUUCGCCCAACAAGGCAAUCCUUUUAUUCCAUGAGCUCCUAAAUGUGAUUGCGGUACUCGGCGGCUGUCCCAUCAAACUUCAUAAGAAACCGCGAGGAGUACUCUUUCACUUUGGCAAGCUCCCCCUCCAGCACCUCCGCGCAAAGCACUGUAUCUCCA
rnacentral:lncRNA from 1 species